ensembl:miRNA
AGCUGAGCCCAUGGGGCGUCAAUGAAACCGUUACCAUUACUGACUUUAGUAAUGGUAACGGUUCUACUGCCGCCCCAGCAUCCGGCCAGCGA